UAUAAAUUAAACAAUUUUCAAUAAUUUUUUUUUUUUUUCAAUUCAAAACGACCAAAAAGAAAAACAGAUCUUCGACAAAAAAACCUCCUCCCAAGAUGGUAGUUUUUCUCACACACAAUCCACACAAAAUACACAAGACAAUAAACAAUAAACAAGAGGGUUUCGAGAGAUGAGGCAAAAACGAAAAAAAAAUAAUAAAAUUAAAAUUAUUUUUAAGUUGCAAAGCCAUCAACCCCUGUUUCGAAUUCCCUCAUCAAGUUGGUUUGUUCGUUUUGGAGAGC
rnacentral:ribozyme from 13 species